GGGCCCGUGGCCUAGUCAGGACAGGGCAACGGCCUUCUAAGCCGUGGGUCGGGGGUUCAAAUCCCCCCGGGUCCG
rnacentral:tRNA from 1 species